rnacentral:rRNA from 1 species
CCUACGGGAGGCAGCAGUGGGGAAUCUUGCGCAAUGGCCGCAAGGCUGACGCAGCGACGCCGCGUGCGGGAGGACGCUCUUCGGGGUGUAAACCGCUGUUGCCCGGGACGAACCGGCUCCUUUUGGAGCCCUGACGGUACCGGGUGAGGAAGCACCGGCUAACUCCGUGCCAGCAGCCGCGGUAAUACGGAGGGUGCGAGCGUUGUCCGGAAUUACUGGGCGUAAAGGGCGCGUAGGCGGCGGUGCACGCGUGGGGUGAAAGUCCGGGGCUCAACUCCGGAUCGGCCUUGCGGACGGCACUGCUUGAGCAUGGUAGAGGCAGGUGGAAUUCCGGGUGUAGCGGUGGAAUGCGUAGAGAUCCGGAAGAACACCGGUGGCGAAGGCGGCCUGCUGGGCCAAUGCUGACGCUGAGGCGCGACAGCGUGGGGAGCAAACAGGAU